AUUGAACGCUGGCGGCAUGCCUUACACAUGCAAGUCGAACGGCAGCGCGGGGCAACCUGGCGGCGAGUGGCGAACGGGUGAGUAAUAUAUCGGAACAUACCCUAGAGUGGGGGAUAACGUAGCGAAAGUUACGCUAAUACCGCAUACGCACUAAGGUGGAAAGUGGGGGAUUCGCAAGAACCUCAUGCUCAUGGAGUGGCCGAUAUCUGAUUAGCUAGUUGGUGAGGUAAAGGCUCACCAAGGCGACGAUCAGUAGCUGGUUUGAGAGAACGACCAGCCACACUGGAACUGAGACACGGUCCAGACUCCUACGGGAGGCAGCAGUGGGGAAUUUUGGACAAUGGGGGCAACCCUGAUCCAGCAAUGCCGCGUGAGUGAAGAAGGCCUUCGGGUU
rnacentral:rRNA from 1 species